rnacentral:misc_RNA from 1 species
GGGAUUUCAUCAUGUUCCGGGGAUAGUGGAGGCCAAAGUUGAAAACAUAAAGGAGGUAUGGGAUGUACUCCAGACUGGGAGUAAUGCUAGAGCUGUUGGAUCGAACAACGUGAAUGAGCAUAGUAGUCGUUCUCACUGCAUGUUGUGUAUAGUGGUAACUGCAAAGAACUUGAUGAAUGGGGACUGCACCAAAAGCAAGCUUUG